CGGACGGGGGAGUAAUGUCUGGGGAACUGCCCGAUGGAGGGGGGUAACUACUGGAAACGGUAGCUAAUACCGCAUAACGUCGCAAGACCAAAGAGGGGGACCUUCGGGCCUCUUGCCAUCGGAUGUGCCCAGAUGGGAUUAGCUAGUAGGUGGGGUAACGGCUCACCUAGGCGACGAUCCCUAGCUGGUCUGAGAGGAUGACCAGCCACACUGGAACUGAGACACGGUCCAG
rnacentral:rRNA from 1 species